rnacentral:rRNA from 1 species
ACUGAACGCUGGCGGCAGGCCUAACACAUGCAAGUCGAGCGGGGUUUUCGGACCUAGCGGCGGACGGGUGAGUAAUGCGUAGGAAGCUACCCGAUAGAGGGGGAUACCAGUUGGAAACGACUGUUAAUACCGCAUAAUGUCUACGGACCAAAGUGUGGGACCUUCGGGCCACAUGCUAUCGGAUGCGCCUACGUGGGAUUAGCUAGUUGGUGAGGUAAUGGCUCACCAAGGCGACGAUCCCUAGCUGGUUUGAGAGGAUGAUCAGCCACACUGGAACUGAGACACGGUCCAGACUCCUACGGGAGGCAGCAGUGGGGAAUAUUGGACAAUGGGCGCAAGCCUGAUCCAGCCAUGCCGCGUGUGUGAAGAAGGCCUUCGGGUUGUAAAGCACUUUCAGUAGGGAGGAAGCGUUGUGUGUUAAUAGUACACAGCGUUGACGUUACCUACAGAAGAAGCACCGGCUAACUUCGUGCCAGCCGCCGCCGUAACAC